rnacentral:rRNA from 2 species
UACGUAGGGGGCGAGCGUUGUCCGAAGUUACUGGGCGUAAAGCGCGCGUAGGCGGGUUGGCAAGUCUGCUGUGAAAGCCCGGGGCUUAACUCCGGAGGGUCGGUGGAUACUGCCAGUCUUGAAGGUGCUAGGGAGAGAUGGAAUUACAGGUGUAGCGGUGAAAUGCGUAGAUAUCUGUAGGAACACCAGUGGCGAAGGCGGUCUCUUGGGGCAUUCUUGACGCUGAGGCGCGAAAGCUGGGGGAGCGAACGGG